UAAUAACAAAUAUUCAAACAAGAACUUUGAAGGCCGAAGUGGAGAAGGGUUCCACGUGAACAGCUGUUGAACAUGGGUCAGUCGGUCCUAAGAGAUAGGCGAGCGCCGUUCCGAAGGGGCGGGUGGUGGCUUCUGUUGCCCUCAGCCGAUCGAAAGAGAGUCAGAUUCCCGAAUCUGGAGUGGUGGAGAUGGGCACCACGAGGCGUCCAGUGUGGUUACGCAACCAAUCCCAGGGAAGCCAGCAGGAGCCCCAGGAAGAGGUGGGUUUUUCUUUUUUUUUUUUUUUUUGUGCUGAGGGCAGGAUGCCCUGGAAUGGGUUCGCCCUGAGAGAGGGGCCUGAGCCUUGGAAAGCGUUGCAGUUCUGGUGGUGUCUGGUAAUCUCUUGCUGGCCCUUGAAAGUCCGGGGGAGAGGGUGUAAAUCUCGCACUGGGCCAUACCCAUAUCUGCAGCAUCGUCUCCCAAGUGAAUAGCCUCUGGCA
rnacentral:ncRNA from 1 species